UACGUAAGCAGAAUAGCAAACUUCCGUGUAAGCGACCCCAGAUACGGGGCAGCGAACAAGGAUGUGAGCUGCCGACAUAGCGCCAUGGACGGCGCUUAUGUCGGGAACCCCGCACCCACUUUAGGAGCUUACACGGUUAGUUUGCUCUGCGUCGUAU
rfam:Desulfosporosinus sp. BRH_c37 BRHa_1004575, whole genome shotgun sequence.